rnacentral:rRNA from 1 species
UACGUAGGGUGCAAGCGUUGUCCGGAAUUAUUGGGCGUAAAGAGCUCGUAGGCGGUUUGUCGCGUCUGCUGUGAAAACGCGAGGCUCAACCUCGCGCCUGCAGUGGGUACGGGCAGACUAGAGUGCGGUAGGGGAGAUUGGAAUUCCUGGUGUAGCGGUGGAAUGCGCAGAUAUCAGGAGGAACACCGGUGGCGAAGGCGGGUCUCUGAGCCGUAACUGACGCUGAGGAGCGAAAGCGUGGGGAGCGAACAGG